AAUAUUUAGCGCAAUCGGGGCCUAGGCUGUAUAGUAUGAUGCCCUUGCCAAGAAGAAUCGAACCAAAAAAAAAUUUGCCAAACGCCAAACCAAACGAAAAUGACACUUUCUGUGACAACAAAAAUCGGCCAUUGCAUUGCCAUUGAUGAGUGUUUUUGUUUGUAUUUAACACUUUUGUAUUAAUACAAAAUGCCUAAAAAUAUUACCAGUGAAGUGCGUGAGAUAAUUUUAAAGGUGAAAGAGUUUAUGGACGAGGAAAAGCGAAUGCAAGUGCCUAUAAUUCCUCUCAGUAAAGUGUACGUAAGAGUUUCUGCGGCCACUGGUGUAUCAGAACGUACAGUAUUGAACAUUGUAAAAGAAGCAAGACUGGUUGAGCAAGGUCUACUUGAUCCAGAGACAUUAAAGAAGUCCCCAAAGAAGAGAGUACGCACAAAAGGAAAAAUUGAAGUUGAUGAAUAUGAUUUACAAGUAAUUAGACGGAAAAUACAUGAAUUCUAUGCAUUCAAGAAAGAGGUGCCUACCAUUAAUAAGCUGUUGCAGAUCUUAAAAGAUGAAAUAAACUUCAAAGGUUCACGAGAAACAUUGCGUAAAAUACUCCGUAAAAAUGGUUUUCAAUUUAGAAAAACAAAAAAUAACAAAGAAAAAGAACCUGUACCUGAUUCGACAUCAACAGUUCCACCUAUGGUACCUCCAUACAUACACUCCAUGUUCAGUCAUAAAAAUAUUCAGUCUUAGUUUUAGGCCAGUAGAAUUAAACACAAAAAUUGAUUAAAUCGGAAAUAAUUCCUACAAAAGAUUUUUUUGCUUUAAUGGCUUCAUUGGUUGCCCAUUAAGACUCUCCUAAGUUUUCGACUUCGACGGAGUUGUGCUUAAGUGGUGGGGGCCCCCGAAAGGGGGGUUUUUUCGGUUUUCCGGUUAUACCGCGUAAAGGACUUACCCUAUCAAAAAGUGGUCUUCAUGACGGUUGAAGGGCACUUAAUCCUGCAUUGAAUAAGACCAAAUCCAAAUGUUUGGACAAACCGUUCCCGCGCUAAAGUUCGGAAAAGUAGAAAAUAUACGUAUAAUUAAUGACCCUCUCCACGUCCAAUGGCUUGUUACCCACAGGCUUCCAAGUCUUGAAAAGGGCCACCUCAACCAGUGUAACCCUAUCAAGGCUUACGAGCUUGAUGCGCCUAUCCUUGUGCGUCCCAGCCGUUCCUUAACUGCGGUUGGUGCACCUCUUCCUUGCACUCUCCUGAACGACCCUGUGUUACCUACUGUGGCUGUCCCUCUUCCUUGCAGCGUCCUGCACGACUACGUUGCCUAGCCGUAUGCCUGGUCCAAGGUUCGACGCCACAAAAUCAAAUUCGCACGCGUGAAAAUAGUUUAAAUACUAUUUUCCGUGCUUGCAACAUUUUUCUUUACUGCUUCGGCUCUAUUAGUCGUAGAGUGAUUGUAUAUAUCCUAUAGCCUUCCUCAAUUUAUGAGCUAUUCAACACAAAAAUUAUUAUUUCAAUCAAACGAGUAAUUCUUGAGAUUAGCGCGUUCAAACAAACAAUCAAAAACUCUUCAGCGUUUUAAUAUGAACUUGUUGUUGUUGAUUUUUGGCGUCAAACCUUAGACCAGGCAUACGGCUAGGCAACGUAGUCAUGCAAGAGGAUACAAGGAAGAGGGGCAGCCACAGUAGGUAACACAGAGUCGUUCAGGUGAGUGCCAGGAAGAGGUGCAGCAACCGCAGUUAAGGAACGGCUGGGACGAACAAGGAUCGGCGAAUCCAGCUCGUAUUCCUUGAUAGGGUUACACUGGUUGAGGCGCUCCUUUUCAAGACUUGGAAGCCUGCGGGUAACGAGCCAUUGGACGUGGAGAGGGUCAUUAAUUAUACACAUAUUUUCUACUUUGCCGAACAUCUGCACGAGAACGGUUUGUUCAAAACAUAUGAAUUUGGUCUUAUUUAAUGCAGAAUUAAAUGCCCUUCAACCAUCAGGAAGACCACUUUUCGAUAGGGUAAGUCCUUUACGCGGUAUAACUGGAAAACCGAAAAAGCGCCCCUUUCGGGGGCCCCCACCACUUAAGCACAACUCCGUCGAAGUCGAAAACUUAGGAGAGUCUUAAUGGGCAACCAAUGAAGCCAUUAAAGCAAUAAAAUCUUUUGUAGGAAUUAUUUCCGAUUUAAAAGCUAAUUCUACUGGACUAUUUAGUACUCAAAAUAUCUGAAAACAUGUUAGAAUAAGUUAAUGACAUAAAAGAUUUAAAAUGAUUCUCACAUCUGACAAAAUAUUUUUGCUAUACAGAAAAUAUUUUAUCAACUAAAGGUUUGUGAUAAAUCUUCAGAAGCUGAUAGUCUGCAAGUUUUUGUUAUUCUAAUUGUAUGCUGAUUACUUUAAUUAUACAGUAACAUAACAAUUGAUCAGCGUCUAAUUUGCAAUGGUCAUAGAGCUGUUGUUCCUAUCUAUAAAUUUAAAUUCAUUUUAGAAUAAACUAUUUUAAUCUACUGACAUAAUGUUUACAAAUUGAAAUUUUCUGCCAAUUGGUGAUAACCACCUUUUUAAAAACUAGAACAUAAGUUUGACAAUCUUUAUUAUACAAAGAAUAUAAUUUUAUUAAUUUUUAAAUGUAUAUGCUCAGUCACAAGCCUUUGAUUGAUGCCUAUUAUAAAUUAUAUCUUAAAGUUUGUAGUACUAUUAAGUUCUGUGCCUGUAGUGUCGUAUUUGAAAAUUAAAAGUAUAAGGUGUAGUGACAAUUUACCAACCACAACUAAUUUUAACAUUCAAUAAGGUAGAUUACAGUACAUGCGGCAUGCUAGUCAUCCCAAUAAAUUAUUUUUUUCUGCUUUCAGUUGUUGUGAUUGUAACUUAUGUAACGUAAAACAAUAAAUAUAUUUAUGGUAGAAUAUACAAUAAGCACAUACAAUCCAAUAUUUUGAGUGGCUAUAGACUGACAAAUUGAUAUCAUAUAACUAGACAUAAUAAUAAGUAAUAAUAUGCAAUGCUGAUUAAAAUCUUAUAAAAAAUUAUAUUUACUUUCUUUGUUUAUUAUGAAAAAAAGAUAUUAUUAUGUGCAGCAUAUCUUUUUUUUAUUACGAGUGAAUUGAGGCCGUCAGCGCAAAAGUGGCCUAACCCACAUUUUUCAUAUUCAUACUGAUCUAUUGCAAUUUAUUCAAAACCUAAUAAAUUUUGUUGCUAAAGCGGCUUUCACCCUUAGUUAAGAGAUGGGGCGCUGUAAAUAUUCUUUUUGCGCGCAUUGUUUUUGCCUACGAAGCAAUAUAAAAGUGGCCUAACCAAGUUUAGGCUCCAUACUAAUAUGUUAAGCUUAGGCCACUUUUGCGCUGACUGCCUCAAUUAAUGUUUUAAUCAUUUGAAUUUAUUCAUUGAAAGAUUAAUAAUUUCGCUCUUUCUCUCUCCAGUGAAAACGGACAGAAUUUAAAAUGUAUGAUAGGUAUAAUGACAAUUCACUUUUGGCUGCAAUGCGAAUGUUACACUUAAGUUUAUGUUUAAUAGUUACUAUUGUAUGCUUUGCUAGCCUUAAUUUACUUGUGUGUCAGCCUGGAUUGAUUUAAAAAACUUUUAAAUAAGAUUGAUAAAAUCAACAUUCUUAUUACAACAAGAGAGAUGUCGUACUAGGAAAGUCGAUCCAUAAUACAUUGGUUUCGACGUAACCUCUUUUUACAAUCACAUUGACUGCUUUUUACUAUCACAUGCUGUUUACUAAAGUUUUAAUAUAAAAACUUCAUUUUAUCAUAGUAAUGUGACAAUAAAGUAAAACAUCACAAUAUGUACCUUAUUCAUAAAGUUUAAAUAUAAUAAGAUACGUCUACACAAUGGCUGCUUCCAAUGUGACAUGGCCAGACUGUAUCGGACAGCGUUUGAGAUACACAACCAUUAUUUAGUAAUUUUUAACAAGGGAUUAAGUGACAAUACUAACAACAACAAUACAUCAAAGUGUCCAUGUCCUAAUACUGUCCAUGUCCUAUUACUGUCCAUAACUAUCUCAUUCUUACUGGUCACAUUUUAAGUUUUUAACCCCUGGUUCAAAAAGGGCUGUUAUAAGUUUGACCGCAGUGUGUCUGUUUGUUAGCACCGUUGCUCUUAAACGGGUGAACCGAUUUGGAUGUAGUCUUGUGUUUGAAAGCAGGUUUUCUAGUGGCGGUGGUUCUUAGACAUGUUUCAUCAAAAUCGGUACAGCCAUUUCAAUGUCGUCUCUUAGCUCUUUAGCGGUCAAACUAAUAAAAGAGCGAUUUUUUAAAUUAGUAGUUAUAACAUCUAUUCUUACUCAGCGGGGACCGCUGCCCAGCAGAUUCAAAACUUUUGUACGACUCACUGUUACCAUGACAUAAUAGUCUCCAAUGAGGUACCCUCUGUUCUUCUGUUUCUGUUGUUCGUCUGUUCUGUUUUCAUUUUCUUCUGUUCUUCGGUUCUGAAUGGCCUACCCUCAAAUGAUUUCCUAUUCUUCUUCACUUCACAUGUCCUGAACAGUGUAUUAGCUAUUAUUAAUUUUAUAUUAAGUGAAAUUAUUUAAUACUUAUCUAAUCUGUAUCUGUAUUAGAGAUGAAACGGAUAGUUGUUUGGCCGGAUACCGGAUACCGGAUAUCCGGCCAGCUGCUAGGCCGGAUAGCUGGAUAUCCGGUGGCCGGAUAGUUGGCCCAUUGUCUCGUUGCAUGUCGUGACGAGUUUAGCGCCGCACAUGUGCUUCGAACGCGAUCAGUGGAUCUAUUAGUAGACUAGACUAGUCACACUUUUCGAAAAUCGAAUCCGUCCGAAUAGAAUGUCAGAUUUUGCCACUUAUCUAGGAGGCAGAUCAAUUCGGGCGAUUUCGGUUGCUAUCGUGAGUGUGUGAUUGAAUAGCGAAAAUUAAAUUAGUUUACUUGCUGCGUAAUCUGACUGAACUGCAUCAUGUCAUCAGACCAUCAGUGAAAAAAAAGAUCGCCUAUUUUAUUUGGAAAUAUUUCGACAUUAUCAGAUAUCAUCAUUAGAGUGAAUAGCUCAGAAAAAUAAAUUAGUUUUUUGAAAGGCCUUAAUAUGGCUUUUUUGUAACUUUUUGGACUUUAAAUGAAAUUCGUCAUUAUUGUACGCCAUUUUAUUGACAUUUACCUCAAAGAUUAAUGCAUUUCAUUUUAUUAUUAGGAAAUUUUCGUAGUUUUUUAAUAUCCGGUAUCCGGCCGGAUAGUGAGUUACUAUCCGGUAUCCGGCCGGAUAGUAAAUUUAGGCCGGAUAUCCGGCCUACCGGAUAGUUACCGGAUAUCUGUUUCAUCUCUAAUCUGUAUCAUCACACCAAUUAUUUAUUCAUUAUAAUUAAUAUCUUUGUUAUGUCCUAACAGAAAAGUUACCACACCCUUUUACUAACUCGGAAUUUAAGAAUGAAAUUGCAAGUUGGUUAAAAAAUUUACUUCUUCAUGACUUCAUCGGCGCGCCGAUGAAAAGCCAUUAUUUUCAUGGAAAUAUCGUGAAAAAAUCGUGAAUCUCUCAAUUCCAUAGACAAGCAUCUUACUAAUGACAAGCGUGUGGUGGUUUGAAGUACAUAAGUGUAUUUGUGUGCUGUGUAAGUAAUUUUACUUGCUGCAGUCUCCACAAAGUGGAUUGUUUUUAAUCGUGACCUUUUAGUGACGAAAAUAAAUGUAUCCUACAUGUUUUAGUUUGUAAUAGUGUAGAAAUAGAUAUAAAAAUAGAAUGUAUGUGUAAAAUAUGAUAUAAAUAAAAAUUCGUUUUAUUGGA